rnacentral:rRNA from 1 species
UGGGGAAUUUUGGACAAUGGGCGCAAGCCUGAUCCAGCCAUGCCGCGUGCAGGAUGAAGGCCUUCGGGUUGUAAACUGCUUUUGUACGGAACGAAAAGGUGCCUUCUAAUAAAGGGCGCUCAUGACGGCACCGUAAGAAUAAGCACCGGCCAACUACGUGCCAGCAGCCGCGGUAAUACGUAGGGUGCGAGCGUUAAUCGGAAUUACUGGGCGUAAAGCGUGCGCAGGCGGUUUUGUAAGACAGAGGUGAAAUCCCCGGGCUCAACCUGGGAACUGCCUUUGUGACUGCAAGGCUGGAGUGCGGCAGAGGGGGAUGGAAUUCCGCGUGUAGCAGUGAAAUGCGUAGAUAUGCGGAGGAACACCAAUUGCGAAGGCAGCUUACUACAUAUAAAUUGACGCUGAGGCACGAAAGCGUGGGGAUCAAACA